rnacentral:misc_RNA from 1 species
AAGUCGUAACAAGGUUUCCGUAGGUGAACCUGCGGAAGGAUCAUUAAAACAAUAAUGAAUGUCGGGGAGGGCGCUUCGGUGCAAUCCCGUGUAUUCAACCAAACCCGCUCGUGUAUUUGGAUCAAAAAAAUUUUAACGAUAAUAAUUAAACAAACUUUCAACAACGGAUCUCUUGGCUCUC